rnacentral:lncRNA from 1 species
GGUCGCCAGUCAAGAGGAAAGCAGGGGGCAGUUACUUGAGUGGAGAGCAGGCGAGGGGUCAGCAGGACAAAUAAAACCCUAAAAUAAAGGGCAGGAAAGUGAUAAACACAAAAGCAGAGAAGGAUCUAAAAAUCCAAGCUGUGAGGUCAGUUGGUUUAGAGGGUGGGUCAGGAAUAGUGCGUGAAGGAAAACCUACAGUGUUUACAAAUGAUAAAAGGAACCUCCCUCUCCUGAGACACAGCAGCUCAAAAGGGAGAAAAAAAAUGCAUUUAUACAAAAAGCAAGGUCAUUUGGCCUUUUGGCACGAAGCUGUGGAAAAAGGGAGAAUGUUUGGAAAGAAGAAAGGAAGGCACCUUAAGGAAGAUGGUCUCCCUCCCCGGGGCCCAGUCCUCCACACCCCGCACCCCAGGGUGAGCGUGUCCUGCCUCCCCCUGGGCCGCAGGGCAGCAGGUGCCUCAGCAGCGAGAGGACAGGCCGCAGGCUCCCAGGCACAGAGUCUGCAUCACGGGAGCUAGAAAUCCAAGGCCACUUCGGGGCCACAGCGAGUCCCAACCCAGCACGGUCCCUGAGGACCCGCCGAUGGUGAGCUGCUCCGCAGACCACAGUCCCUUGGCCCAAGUGAUGGCUGACCGGUGUCUCAUAAGGGUCCGCUUCCCAAACUUGGCCACCUCAGGGGCAAGACACUAAGUGAAAGUAGUUGAAAGGCACAUGGGAGCGAAGAGCAAAUCGAAGAAGCCAGUUUUUACACAAGGAUUCUUAUCCCUGUAGGUGACCAGGGUCAAGAGUCCUGUGGCUUCAGAACCCUAUGCAGGUCAAUGUCGAGGUGGACUAAGGUGGCCCGCUUACCUGGUUGAGAAGCUUUGGCUUGGGGGAGACUUGAGACCUCCUGAGAGAACUGCCCUUAGAGGCAGAUAUUCCCACAGCAGAAGAAAUGGCUGGAAACAAAUAUCAAAGCUAACUAGAAAGGCCUGAAAACGGUUGUAGAGAGAAACUGAGCCCAGCACAGGUUAAAGUGAUGUUUCCAGUCGGAGGAACAGCAAAAGAAGCCACUGUUUCUUUGAACAAAGGAGACACUCUCCUCUUCUCCUCCUUUUCCUCCACCGGUUCCUGCUCCUCUUCAGGGCAUGGAACUUACUGGGUAGGAAGGCCCGAGGCAGGCGAAGAGGACAGACCCAACAGACCUACCACCCAGUCACAUGAUGGAAGAGGCAUUUGUAAGAUGUGGCGCAGGGAUGGCAAAUGUUCAGGCUGCUGGUGUGUUUUGUCAGGCCAGAGCCACGUUUUUAGAAUAAUUGAAUUUGAGUGCUUUUAUAGGUAAGGUAUGCAAUUUUUAUGUUUUUGAAGUUGCCACCACUUAACAUUUCACAAACCUUUUUCAUUCUUUUUUUUUUCUUUCAAAAAAGUGUUUUUAACCUUUGAAGAUAUCUGGAUUUGCACACUCCAGCUCUUAAGCAGUUCUGGGAAGACCUUGAAGCCAGCAUUUUUAGAGGCAUGACCUCUAAAGAUGGCCAGCCCCACAGAGAUAAGUCUGGAGCCUAAGGAGAGGAAUGUACAAAAACAAGAUGACAACUAGCAUGAAGGCAGAAAUGAUUUCUAGGAAGGAAGUACUGUUACUAAGAAUUAUCAUGGCAGUUUCACAUUUUUAUAAUAAACCACCCGGGUUUAUACCCAUGUAUUUUUUUUCUAAUAACACUACUCCUAAAUUAUCUUUUGAAACAUAUAUCAAAUUGACCGUCAUAUUUUAUUGAGUUUUCUUCAAUUUUUUCGUUUCAAGAGGUAUCUAAAGAGGAUGUUGAAGUACCUAAAUUUACAUGAACUCAAUCUGCCAUCUGAUAAACGUCUAAUUGUUUUGGCAGUAAGAGCCCUUGAGUGAGUCUCCCAAGUAUCCCAAAAUACGCAGUACAUGUUGACUUCCAUGGUUGUAUUUCUAUACCUUGUUAGAAACACAGGCUUUUGUAACAUUGUUCUGGUUUGGGACAAAGCAAAAUAUGGGUCAACCUGGAGCUCCUUAUCUGUUUUUGGAUAGAAAGGAGGUAACAUGUGGGAUAGAUCAAAGAAUAUGCCUGUUAGAGAGAGGUAUGAGAUCUAAACAUGGAAGCCCUGAUCCUACAAGGCACUCACUUCCUGGGAGUUCCUGCUGUCAGAACAGUGAGAUAGGGAUGGAUUUCUGUAAUGGGUCAGUGGAGAUAUCAUACCUGGUCCACCGUAGAAUGGUUGUAUGGGGAAUCUGGUCUAGAGCAAAAUAAUUUUCCAUGGAAAGAAUAUGAUUGGUUUACCCUAGUAGUAUCAUUCUUAAGUAAAUGUGAAUGAACCAGAUGUCAUAAAAUACCAGCAUGCACGUGGAAAUCUGUAAUGGAAACAUGUAUGAAUAUACUAUGUGGUUUACUGACCUAAUACGCAUAUAAGUUGUAGUAUUUAGAAGCACCCCCUCCUGUCUCUUUCUGAAUAAAACCAUUGCAAAGGUUUUAGC